rnacentral:lncRNA from 1 species
AUGGAUAGUGUGAUAUAGCUCUGACAAGCUUCCACCCCGAACGAGCUUUUGAUUUACUAUAAAACACAAAAAAUAACACAAAGUAAGCAUUUAAGCUUGGUAAGUUCAUAUAUCAUAGAGUAAAACUUACCAUUUAGUCACGUAAUAGGUAAAUAAACAUAGCAUAUCCUAACAUGAUUUGACCAAAUGCCUAAGCACAUAUACUUCAACC